rnacentral:rRNA from 1 species
GUGGGGAAUCUUGCGCAAUGGGCGAAAGCCUGACGCAGCCAUGCCGCGUGAAUGAUGAAGGUCUUAGGAUUGUAAAAUUCUUUCACCGGGGACGAUAAUGACGGUACCCGGAGAAGAAGCUCCGGCUAACUUCGUGCCAGCAGCCGCGGUAAUACGAAGGGGGCUAGCGUUGCUCGGAAUUACUGGGCGUACAGGGCGCGUAGGCGGACAGCUUAGUCAGAGGUGAAAGCCCAGGGCUCAACCUUGGAAUUGCAUUUGAUACUGGCUGUCUUGAGUAUGGGAGAGGUGAGUGGAACUCCGAGUGUAGAGGUGAAAUUCGUAGAUAUUCGGAAGAACACCAGUGGCGAAGGCGACUCACUGGCCCAAUACUGACGCUGAGGCGCGAAAGCGUGGGGAGCAAACAGGAUUAGAUACCCGAGUAGUCC